rnacentral:rRNA from 1 species
UGCAAGUCGAACGGUAACAGGUCUUCGGAUGCUGACGAGUGGCGAACGGGUGAGUAAUACAUCGGAACGUGCCCAGUAAUGGGGGAUAGCUCGGCGAAAGCCGGAUUAAUACCGCAUACGCCCUGAGGGGGAAAGUGGGGGACCGCAAGGCCUCACGUUAUUGGAGCGGCCGAUGGCUGAUUAGCUAGUUGGUAGGGUAAAGGCCUACCAAGGCGACGAUCAGUAGCUGGUCUGAGAGGACGAUCAGCCACACUGGGACUGAGACACGGCCCAGACUCCUACGGGAGGCAGCAGUGGGGAAUUUUGGACAAUGGGGGAAACCCUGAUCCAGCAAUGCCGCGUGUGCGAAGAAGGCCUUCGGGUUGUAAAGCACUUUUGUCAGGGAAGAAAUCCUUUGGGCUAAUACCCUAGGGGGAUGACGGUACCUGAAGAAUAAGCACCGGCUAACUACGUGCCAGCAGCCGCGGUAAUACGUAGGGUGCAAGCGUUAAUCGGAAUUACUGGGCGUAAAGCGUGCGCAGGCGGUUGUGUAAGACAGGUGUGAAAUCCCCGGGCUUAACCUGGGAAUUGCAUUUGUGACUGCACGACUAGAGUGUGUCAGAGGG